rnacentral:rRNA from 1 species
GACGAACGCUGGCGGCGUGCUUAACACAUGCAAGUCGAACGGAAAGGCCCUGCUUUUGUGGGGUGCUCGAGUGGCGAACGGGUGAGUAACACGUGAGUAACCUGCCCUUGACUUUGGGAUAACUUCAGGAAACUGGGGCUAAUACCGGAUAGGAGCUCCUGCUGCAUGGUGGGGGUUGGAAAGUUUCGGCGGUUGGGGAUGGACUCGCGGCUUAUCAGCUUGUUGGUGGGGUAGUGGCUUACCAAGGCUUUGACGGGUAGCCGGCCUGAGAGGGUGACCGGCCACAUUGGGACUGAGGUACGGCCCAGACUCCUACGGGAGGCAGCAGUGGGGAAUAUUGCACAAUGGGCGGAAGCCGGAUGCAGCAACGCCGCGUGCGGGAUGACGGCCGUCGGGUUGUAAACCGCUUUCGCCUGUGACGAAGCGUGAGUGACGGUAAUGGGUAAAGAAGCACCGGCUAACUACGUG